rnacentral:rRNA from 1 species
UACGUAGGGGGCAAGCGUUGUCCGGAAUUAUUGGGCGUAAAGAGCGUGUAGGCGGCCUGAUAAGUCGGCUGUGAAAGUCAAGGGCUCAACCCUUGAAUGCCGGCCGAUACUGUCAGGCUAGAGUCCGGAAGAGGCGAGUGGAAUUCCUGGUGUAGCGGUGAAAUGCGCAGAUAUCAGGAGGAACACCUAUGGCGAAGGCAGCUCGCUGGGACGGUACUGACGCUGAGACGCGAAAGCGUGGGGAGCGAACAGG